rnacentral:rRNA from 1 species
AUCGAACGCUGGCGGCAGGCUUAACACAUGCAAGUCGAGCGAGCGGCGGACGGGUGAGUCAUGUCUGGGAAACUGCCUGCUGGAGGGGGAUAACUACUGGAACCGGUAGCUAAUACCGCUUACCAUCAGAUGUGCCCGGCUGGGAUAAGCUAGUAGGUGGGGUAAUGGCUCACCUAGGCGACGAUCCCUAGCUGGUCUGAGAGGAUGACCAGCCGCACUGGAACUGGGACACGGUCAAGACUCCUACGGGAGGCAGCAGGGGGGAAUAUUGCACAAUGGGCGCAAGCCUGAUGCAGCCAGGCCGCGUGUGUGAAGAAGGCCUUCGGGUGGUAAAGCACUUUCUGCGAUGAGGCGUUACUCGCAGAAGAAGCACCGGCUAACUCCGUGCCAGCAGCCGCGGUAAUUC